AAUCAACGCUGGCGGCGUGCCUAACACAUGCAAGUCGAACGCGAAAGCCCUUUCGGGGGUAAGUAGAGUGGCGUCCGGGUGAGUAACACGUAGGUAAUCUGCCUUCGGGUGGGGAAUAACCAGUCGAAAGAUUGGCUAAUACCGCAUAAUGCAGCGGCACCUAAUGGUGAUUAGUUGUUAAAGCGGGGGAUCGUAAGACCUCGCGCCUGAAGAGGAGCCUGCGGCAGAUUAGCUAGNGGUGAGGUAAUGGCUCACCAAGGCUUCGAUCUGUAGCUGGUCUGAGAGGACGGCCAGCCACACUGGCACUGACACACGGGCCAGACUCCUACGGAGGCAGCAGUGGGAAUUUUGGGCAAUGGGCGAAAGCCUGACCCAGCAACGCCGCGUGAGGGGAGGAAAUCCUUCGGGAUGUAAACCUCACAAGCAAGGGAAGAGAGCUCAGGGCCGAAUAAGCUUUGAGUCCGACGGUACCUUGCGUAAGCCACGGCUAACUACGUGCCAGCC
rnacentral:rRNA from 1 species